UACGGAGGGGGCAAGCGUUAUUCGGAAUCAUUGGGCGUAAAGGGCGCGUAGGCGGCUUGGCAAGUCAAAGGUGAAAUCCCUCGGCCUAACCGAGGAACUGCCUUUGAAACUGCUUGGCUUGAGGCCGGGAGAGGGCAGCGGAAUUCCCAGUGUAGCGGUGAAAUGCGUAGAUAUUGGGAGGAACACCAGUGGCGAAGGCGGCUACCUGGACCGGUUCUGACGCUGAGGCGCGAAAGCGUGGGGAGCAAACAGG
rnacentral:rRNA from 1 species